rnacentral:rRNA from 1 species
GAAAGGUCCUCUGGAUUGUAAACUUAUUUUAUCUGGGAAGAAACCCAUUUUUUCUAAAGUGGCUGACGGUACCAGAUGAAUAAGCACCGGCUAACUCCGUGCCAGCAGCCGCGGUAAUACGGAGGGUGCAAGCGUUAUCCGGAUUCACUGGGUUUAAAGGGUGCGUAGGUGGGCAGGUAAGUCAGUGGUGAAAUCUCCGGGCUUAACCCGGAAACUGCCGUUGAUACUAUCUGUCUUGAAUAUCGUGGAGGUGAGCGGAAUAUGUCAUGUAGCGGUGAAAUGCUUAGAUAUGACAUAGAACACCAAUUGCGAAGGCAGCUCGCUACACGGUUAUUGACACUGAUGCACGAAAGCGUGGGGAUCAAACAGGAUUAGAUACCCUGGUAGUCCACGCCCUAAACGAUGGAUACUCGACAUAUGCGAUACACAGUAUGUGUCUGAGCGAAAGCAUUAAGUAUCCCACCUGGGAAGUACGACCGCAAGGUUGAAACUCAAAGGAAUUGACG